GUCAAGUGAUGAUAAUAAGGUGCAGUGGAGAAAGCUGUAGGUGUUGGCUCAAAUUUUAAGUCAAACCAGAGUAAAUAUAUUGUCUGUAAUCUUGGGGCAAUGCUUUGAGAACAAGCAUGCCCUGUAAGGCCAGACAUAGAGCUCUUGCCUGAAUACCUCUCUGUGCUGAGAUGUGGUACAAGAGACAUGACAGGCACACAGGGUGGGGUUGGGGGGUGGGGACAGGGAAACCUACAGUUUUCUGUGACCAACAUUUUUAGUAAUCUGAUGACA